rnacentral:lncRNA from 1 species
GGCAUCACAGAGUUAGAUUCUUCAGGUAGGAAUGAAGAACAGCAUUUUACAAGAUGUAACUUACCAUAAAUAGAAGAAUUAGGCGAAAUAUGCAUCUCCUAAUUUGAAAUUGUUUUACCAGAAGAUCUGGUACUGAGGGAGUUCAGAGGAUAAAGCAGCAGGAUCAGGCUCAUAAUUUCCAGGUGGCAGCACCAUUGACAUAUGCAACAGCCUCCUCCCUGGUCAGUUGCUUCCCUUCUACCAGGCCAUUCACUAGUGUAUUCAUAUAGUCUUUUGCAGGCACGGAUGCUGGUAGCUCUCCAGAUUUAAAACGCUCAACAUCUGAUGCAGAGCACCUGCAUAUGAAUGAUAUUUAUUCAUAAGUGUCAAGGAUUUGAAAAUAACUUCAGUUAGCAUAUAAUUUGGAAAACAUUCACACAUAAUGCUGUCAUUAAGUCCUACUUCGACCCCAAUUCCAGAGACUGAAUGUUCCCCUUCAGCUGACAUCUUAGAAUCACUUUUGUGCCAUACUUGAUGAUAAGUCACACAAAGUGACAGAAUUUCAGGGGCUGGAAUGUUUAUCGUAAAUAAUCCUGUUGGAAGAUUCCAUAACUUGUUCAGGUGGAAUUGCACCAAAGCUCAACCUCUAACACAAGGAUUUUAUUCACUGGAAGAAAUGAAAAUUUGUUCUAUGUUCUUUAACACUAACUUCAAAAAAAAAAUGACAUAAUGAUAUGUGGAAAGAAUGAUUUAUUUCAGAAACAAUGCGCCUUAAUGUCAAUCUGGCCAUUGCAUCAUUCCAACAAGGGUGGUGAUGUGGUUCAAGCAUAGAUCGAAACCUAAAAAACCAGUAGAUGAUGUAACAUCAGGCAGCCUAUACAUUGAUACCUCAGGCAUGAGACUAUUAAAAAUGUUGCCUUUCAAUGAGCAAGGAGGCCUCUGUUUGCAGUGACCUUUGGUUAUGAAGGGAGAGGACAUUGUCGACAAUGAUGGUGGUGUAAUAGGUUUAGGAUGUUUUUUGAAUAUUGUCACUCAGAGAUCUUGGUUAUCUAAUGGGAGAGAUUGACACUGCCCUAAAUAGUCUCUCAUCUAUGAGUUACGAUACUGAAAGUAUAAGCCAUUACCCUUUGCAAUUAAAAAAAAAAACUUCUGGGAAAAAAAGGCAAGGUGUGCGAUCAUUCAGUUUGUGUCAUGAUAGUAUCAAAAAUUAUAUAUAAGAACUAGCUAAACAGUGGUGUAUUCUGUUCAUGAAGUAAACGUUCUGGACAGAAUGAAAACAUAUGUCAAAAACAUGCAGAACAAAAAGUAGCAAAACAAGAAGCAUACGUCAUUGUUAAAAUUGGAAGAUCAUCCUCUUUUCCCAAAUAAAGAACUGUGGAGUACCAUCCAUCCUGCAGCAACGUCGGCAACAACUUUUCUUAUAUAUGUAAGCUUACACAUAAUUAAGCAAGUUCAUACAAAUUUUUUAACAAUGAUAUGCAAUUGCUUUUUUGAAGUGCAGCAAGAGUCCAGCAUGGUACCUUGAGGGUUUUCAGAGGCAAAGACUUGUUUUUAGCAACAUAUUCGAGGAUGUGUAAAUCUAGUAAAGGAGAAGCCAUCUGUUUAAUAAUACCAUUUUCUUGGUGCAAACUAUUUUCUUGAAGC